rnacentral:sRNA from 1 species
CUUCCGAAGCGGCCGUAUUCCAAAAUUGUUUAAAAAUCGCCGCCGGUAAACUGGACGAGGCGCAAUAGUGAUCAAUACUUGAACUGUCGGCGAGACAUCUCCCCCAAGUGUUUCGCCGAUAUUGGUACCAACGGACCGCGUGCCAUUGUUUUACUCCUAAUGGUCUUAACCCGGAUUCACCCCCCAGAACCCGG